rnacentral:rRNA from 1 species
GACGGCGGGUGCUAGCGUUGUUCGGAAUCACUGGGCGUAAAGGGCGCGUAGGCGGCGCCGCGUGUCGGCUUGUGAAAGCCCGGGGCUCAACCCCGGAGGUGCGGCCGAGACUGCGGUGCUGGAGGCCGGAAGAGGAGGGUGGAAUACCCAGUGUAGAGGUGAAAUUCGUAGAUAUUGGGUGGAACACCGGUGGCGAAAGCGGCUCUCUGGUCCGGUCCUGACGCUGAGGCGCGAAAGCGUGGGGAGCAAACAGG